GGGCGGCUAGCUCAGUUGGUUAGAGCACUAGCUCGACACGCUAGGGGUCACAAGUUCGAGUCUUGUGCCGCCCAGCA
rnacentral:tRNA from 1 species